rnacentral:misc_RNA from 1 species
UGUAUACCUGGUUAGGCGUAAGCCAAACCAAACCAUGUGUGAAUCAGUGUUCUCUUCCCGGCGGAAGCUUUUGGCGUCUGGGCUUGCCUGGAUUGCCUGGGUGACGGCUGGGGUUUUGCCUCGCAAGAGGUUAACAAGUUAAAUAGCAGGGAACUCAAAAGUAACAAAUUA